UUCUGCAUAACUAUAUACCGAUUAAUCACCACCAUCCAUGAACAGCUUCUGUGUAGGUGUUCUUGAUCCACCUUAAACUCUUCCUCAGGGAGCCUUUCAUUUUUCCUUCCACAGAAUAUAUUUUAUAGCCAGCGACUCUCUUCUUCCUCUGCAACUCAGGGUCACUGAAGCUCCAACUUUUUGAUACUUUAUUAGCUAUGUUUUUCCCUUUAUCCACCUUCACUUCCUUUUCCUUACCUAUCUUGCAUGGAUAUGCAGAACUACCAUAACUUGCACUGUAACUGUAAGACCUCAGAUCUUGCAUACCUGUUGGGGCCACCCUUCCUCCAUUGUAGUUUUCAAUCUGCAGACUCUCACUCCUGCAUGAUUUGGAUCUGAAUUCCAUGGUGAAAACCACACUGCACAAACACAAGAGUGAAGAACUAAGGAUGUGUAGUUUUAAGGAGAGAAAGAAUGAAGCUAAAAGAGAUGGUAGGUUGGUCG
rnacentral:lncRNA from 1 species